GCCCUAGUAACGGCGAGUGAAGCGGCAACAGCUCAAAUUUGAAAUCUGGCUUCGGCCCGAGUUGUAAUUUGCAGAGGAUGCUUCUGGCGCGGUGCCUUCCGAGUUCCCUGGAACGGGACGCCACAGAGGGUGAGAGCCCCGUAUGGUCGGACACCAAGCCUGUGUGAAGCUCCUUCGACGAGUCGAGUAGUUUGGGAAUGCUGCUCUAAAUGGGAGGUAAAUCUCUUCUAAAGCUAAAUACCGGCCAGAGACCGAUAGCGCACAAGUAGAGUGAUCGAAAGAUGAAAAGCACCUUGAAAAGGGGGUUAAAUAGUACGUGAAAUUGUUGAAAGGGAAGCACUUGUGACCAGACUUGGGCCGGGCGGCUCAUCAGGGGUUCUCCCCUGUGCACUCCGCCCGGCACAGGCCAGCAUCGGUUCUCGUGGGGGGAUAAGACCGUCAGGAACGUAGCACCCUCCGGGGUGUGUUAUAGCCUGGCGGACGAUACCCCCGUGGGGACCGAGGUUCGCGCUCCGCAAGGAUGCUGGCGUAAUGGUCACCAGUGACCCGUCUUGAAACACGGACCAAGGAGUCGUCCAUUAGAGCGAGCGUUUGGGUGUAAAACCCGCACGCGUAAUGAAAGUGAACGCAGGUGAGAGCUUCGGCGCAUCAUCGACCGAUCCUGAUGUUCUCGGAAGGAUUUGAGUAAGAGUUUUAACGGACGGACCCGAAAGACAGUGAACUAUGCUUGUAUAGGGUGAAGCCAGAGGAAACUCUGGUGGAGGCUCGCAGCGGUUCUGACGUGCAAAUCGAUCGUCAAAUAUGAGCAUGGGGGCGAAAGACUAAUCGAACUGUCUAGUAGCUGGUUACCGCCGAAGUUUCCCUCAGGAUAGCAGUGUUGAUCUUCAGUUUUAUGAGGUAAAGCGAAUGAUUAGGGACUCGGGGGCGCUAUAUAGCCUUCAUCCAUUCUCAAACUUUAAAUAUGUAAGAAGCCCUU
rnacentral:rRNA from 1 species